rnacentral:rRNA from 1 species
GACGAACGCUGGCGGCGUGCUUAAUACAUGCAAGUCGAGCGAGGUUACUGCGACAGAUCCCUUCGGGGUGGAGUUGCUUUAGCCUAGCGGCGGACGGGUGAGUAACGCGUGGGUAACCUACCCUAAAGUUCGGGAUAACAGCGGGAAACCGCUGCUAAUACCGGAUGCCUUUACCGUGUGGCAUCACAAGGUAAAGAAAGGUGACGCUUUAGGAUGGGCCCGCGUCCCAUUAGCUAGUUGGUGAGGUAACAGCUCACCAAGGCGACGAUGGGUAGCCGGCCUGAGAGGGUGGACGGCCACACUGGGACUGAGACACGGCCCAGACUCCUACGGGAGGCAGCAGUAGGGAAUAUUGCGCAAUGGACGGAAGUCUGACGCAGCGACGCCGCGUGAGCGAUGAAGGCCUUCGGGUCGUAAAGCUCUGUCCUUGGGGAAGAAGGUCUUCGGACUUGACGGUACCCAAGAAGAAAGCCCCGGCUAACUACGUGCCAGCAGCCGCGGUAAUACGUAGGGGGCGAGCGUUGUCCGGAAUUACUGGGCGUAAAGGGUGCGUAGGCGGCCCUUUAAGUCAGAUGUGAAAGCCCGCAGCUUAACUGCGGAAUUGCAUUUGAAACUGGAGGGCUUGAGUGUCGGAGAGGGUAGUGGAAUUCCCAGUGUAGCGGUGAAAUGCGUAGAUAUUGGGGAGGAACACCAGUGGCGAAGGCGACUGCCUGGACGAUAACUGACGCUGAGGCACGAAAGCUAGGGGAGCAAACAGG